rnacentral:lncRNA from 1 species
UGCCCUGUGUCACUGCAAUGUCCCCAUGUUGUCCCCAGGUGCCCUGUGUCACUGCACGCAGUCCCUGAUGAUGUCUCCAAUGUCCCCAAUGCUGUCCCCAUGUCCCCAGGUGCCCUGUGUCACUGCAAUGUCCCCAAUGCUGUCCCCAGGUGCCCUGUGUCACUGCAUGCAGUCCCUGAUGAUGUCCCCAAUGUCCCCAUGUUGUCCCCAGGUGCCCUGUGUCACUGCAAUGUCCCCAUGUCCCCAGGUGCCCUGUGUCAAUGCAAUGUCCCCAUGUUGUCCCCAGGUGCCCUGUGUCACUGCAAUGUCCCCAUAUCCCCAGGUGCCCUGUGUCACUGCAAUGUCCCCAAUGAUGUCCCCAGGUGCCCUGUGUCACUGCAAUGUCCCCAUAUCCCCAGGUGCCCUGUGUCACUGCACGCAGUCCCUGAUGAUAUCCCUGAUGAUGUCCCCAAUGUCCCCAAUGAUGUCCCCAAUGUCCCCAUGUCCCCAGGUGCCCUGUGUCACUGCACGCAGUCCCUGAUGAUGUCCCUGAUGUUGUCCCCAAUGUCCCCAAUGUCCCCAAUAAUGUCCCCAGGUGCCCUGUGUCACUGCAAUGUCCCCAUGUCCCCAGGUGCCCUGUGUCAAUGCAAUGUCCCCAAUGAUGUCUCCAUGUGCCCUGUGUCACUGCACGCAGUCCCUGAUGAUGUCCCUGAUGGUGUCCCCAAUGUCCCCAGGUGCCCUGUGUCACUGCAAUGUCCCCAAUGUCCCCAGGUGCCCUGUGCCACUGCAAUGUCCCCAAUGAUGUCCCCAGGUGCCCUGUGUCACUGCACGCAGUCCCUGAUGAUGUUCCCAAUGUCCCCAAUGCUGUCCCCAUGUCCCCAGGUGCCCUGUGUCACUGCAAUGUCCCCAAUGAUGUCCCCAGGUGCCCUGUGUCACUGCACGCACUCCCUGAUGAUGUCCCCAAUGUCCCCAAUGUCCCCAUGUCCCCAGGUGCCCUGUGCCACUGCACGCAGUCCCUGGUGAUGUCCCCAAUGCUGUCCCCAAUGUCCCUUUGGUGUCCCCAGGUGCCCUGUGUCACUGCACGCAGUCCCUGAUGAUGUCCCCAAUGAUGUCCCCAUGUCCCC